rnacentral:tRNA from 1 species
GGAGGGUUAGCUCAGCUGGUUAGAGCGCAUGCCUUACAAGCAUGAGGCCACUGGUUCGAGUCCAGUACCCUCCACCA